AUCAGGAGGAGAAGAACAGCAGAACUUUGCCGGUCUCGAGCAAAAGAAAAUGGCGGAACAUUUGGCUUCAAUUUUCGGAACGGAAAAGGAUAGGGUUAACUGCCCCUUCUACUUCAAGAUUGGAGCCUGUAGACACGGAGAUCGGUGCUCUCGGCUUCACACCAAGCCCAGCAUCAGCCCUACACUUCUCCUCUCUAAUAUGUAUCAGAGACCUGACAUGAUCACCCCCGGUGUUGACCCUCAGGGCCAAGCCCUUGAUCCGCGCAAGGUUCAAGAUCACUUCGAGGACUUUUAUGAAGAUCUAUUCGAGGAGCUGAGCAAAUAUGGAGAUCUCGAAAGCUUAAAUAUUUGUGAUAAUUUGGCUGACCAUAUGGUGGGCAAUGUCUAUGUUCAGUUUAGGGAAGAAGAACAAGCUGCAAAUGCGCUUCAGAAUCUUAAUGGGCGCUUUUAUGCAGGUCGACCCAUCAUUGUUGACUUCUCUCCUGUGACGGAUUUUCGAGAAGCUACUUGCAGGCAAUAUGAGGAAAAUGUAUGUAAUCGUGGUGGCUAUUGCAACUUUAUGCAUCUGAAGAAGAUAAGCAGAGAGUUGAGAAGGCGUUUAUUUGGGAGGAGCAGACGCAGGCGUAGCCGAAGCCAAAGUCAAAGUCGAAGCCCCCACAGGCAUCAUGGACAUGAUGACCGUCCCCAUGGUGGUCGUGGACGUGGACCUAGUAGAAGAGAUGGAGACAAGGACCCUCGGUAUCAUGAUAGAAGCAGGAGGCCUAGAAGCCGUAGCCCUAGGCAUAGAGGGGGACGGAGUAGGAGCCCUGGAGGGAGGAGGAAUAGAAGUCCGGUGAGGGAAAGUAGUGCUGAAAGAAGGGCUAAGAUUGAACAGUGGAACAGGGACAGGGAAACGGCAGAUAAUGGUAGUGGUCACCAGGAUGUCAAGGAUGAUGGUGGUAGCAAUGGCCUUGUACAAAAUGAAGAUGAAUUUGAUCCUUCUAAGCAGUACUAGAGAAAAUCUUGGAUGCUGUUGCUUGCCUGAAAGGAACAUUGCUGGUUUGCUUCUGCCCUUCUAUUGAUUCAAUAUAGGUGGAGGACAGGUUCCCUGUCACGUGUUAAUGAAUGUGAAUUCCAGUUUUGUUAACCCCGUCUCUUUCACCCUAAAAAAGAAAUUAACUAGUAUAGAAAUAGUCGUUAGUGAGUAAGUCUCUAAGAAAUUCUACAAUAUUCCAUACCAUUGUUUAAUUGGUCACAGCUAUCCCUAUCCAUUCUUCCUUUUGUCUAUUCUUUGUUCCUUGGUUUUAAACUCUACCUACGUUCACCUCAGUCAGAAAUGCAUUUCCACCAUAUUUAUGGGAAUUACAUGAUAAAAUAAAUCCUGGUAUUAGCUAAAAGUAGGAUGUGUAUGUGUAGCGUUUAAGCUUCACAAGUCUCGAGGAAAGAUGUCUGAAAACCAUUUUUAGUUUUUCUUUCCUUUUUCCUAUUUUUUAAACCGUCUAUGCUUUACUUUUACAUAAAGAUGAAGACCAACAUCUUAGAACCAGCCUUCAUGUUUGCUGAUGCUUACCUCUUUCUUAAAUAUACUGUUUAGUCAGAAUAAUGUUAAUACGUUGGUAAUUAUCAUAUUAUUUUCUAGCCCCCAAAAUUUACUCAUCCGAACUGGUACUUCUUCAUAUUUGUUAUCUUGAGAUCUGGUUUAAUUUUUUAGACUAGUAUUUUUUUCAAUAUUUUCAACCUCAUAUAGAUAGAUUCACACCUAAAGCAGAACUAGAGCUUGGUGUCGGUCUAAUUGAAAGUUUUUAUCCUGCCCAUGCUCCCAUCUUAACAGGAAAAUAGAAAUAGAAGCACUUGUGGUUAUGGUUUUUUUACUAUUUGUAUAUGUUUAUUGAAUUUUCUUUUAUCUUUCUUACAUACGCUGCGAGUUUUGCAGGUUCAGGUUUUCCUGCUUUCCCAAAUACUUCUUAGGCAGCUUACCAUCGUAUUCAUAAUACAGGUUUGGCUGUUAUCUGGAGGAUUUGCAGGAUUUGAUGUGAUGUUUCGUUGGAAACAUGAAGGAAGCUUCUCUCUACAACUUCUGUAAUGCUGAAAAAUGUAUGUCCUCGUAAGGUUGAUUUCCCUAUUCCAUAAUCAAGUAAGUUUUAAGGAUUUAUGAGACAGAAGUAGAUGUAAUUUCGCUUUCUUGUUUUGAAUUGUUUUGUAUUUCCAACAUUAAUUGAUGUUUUCGUAGAGAAAUACUAUGGAGCUGCCAUUGAAAAUAUUUUAAGUUUGCUUUGGUUGGCUAAUACACCUUGGAUUUCUCAUUUUGCUUA